rnacentral:rRNA from 1 species
GGUCUCACUGAUUCCUCCUUCCUGAUGAGCCGUAAUGCCAUUAAUUUGGUGUUGCGGGGAAUUUGGACUGUUACUUUGAAAAAAUUAGAGUGUUUAAAGCAAGCUAACGCUUGAAUACAUUAGCAUGGAAUAAUGAAAUAGGACGUUCGAUCCUAUUUUGUUUGGUUUCUUAGGAUUGACGUAAUGAUUA